rnacentral:rRNA from 1 species
UGGUAGUCCACGCUGUAAACGAUGUCUACUGGAGGUUGUGGCCUUGAGCCGUGGCUUCGGAGCUAACGCGUUAAGUAGACCGCCUGGGAGUACGGUCGCAAGAUUAAAACUCAAAUGAAUUGACGGGGGCCCGCACAAGCGGUGGAGCAUGUGGUUUAAUUCGAUGCAACGCGAAGAACCUUACCUACUCUUGACAUCCAGAGAAUCUAGCGGAGACGCUGGAGUGCCUUCGGGAACUCUGAGACAGGUGCUGCAUGGCUGUCGUCAGCUCGUGUUGUGAAAUGUUGGGUUAAGUCCCGCAACGAGCGCAACCCUUAUCCUUGUUUGCCAGCGAGUAAUGUCGGGAACUCCAGGGAGACUGCCGGUGAUAAACCGGAGGAAGGUGGGGACGACGUCAAGUCAUCAUGGCCCUUACGAGUAGGGCUACACACGUGCUACAAUGGCGCAUACAGAGGGCGGCCAACUUGCGAAAGUGAGCGAAUCCCAAAAAGUGCGUCGUAGUCCGGAUUGGAGUCUGCAACUCGACUCCAUGAAGUCGGAAUCGCUAGUAAUCGUGGAUCAGAAUGCCACGGUGAAUACGUUCCCGGGCCUUGUACACACCGCCCGUCACACCAUGGGAGUGGGCUGCAAAAGAAGUGGGUAGUUUAACCUUCGGGAGGACGCUCACCACUUUGUGGUUCAUGACUGGGGUGAAGUCGUAACAAGGUAGCGCUAGGGGAACCUGGCGCUG